AUUGAACGCUGGCGGCAUGCUUUACACAUGCAAGUCGAACGGCAGCUCGGGCUUCGGCCUGGCGGCGAGUGGCGAACGGGUGGGUAAUACAUCGGAACGUGCCCAGUAGUGGGGGAUAGCUCGGCGAAAGCCGGAUUAAUACCGCAUACGACCUGAGGGUGAAAGCGGGGGGUCUUCGGACCUCGCGCUAUUGGAGCGGCCGAUGGCAGAUUAGCUAGUUGGUGGGGUAAAUGCCUACCAAGGCGACGAUCUGUAGCUGGUCUGAGAGGACGACCCGCCACACUGGGACAGAGACACGGCCCAGACUCCGACGGGGGGCAGCAGUGGGGAAUUUUGGACAAUGGGCGAAAGCCUGAUCCAGCAAUGCCGCGUGUGUGAUGAAGGCCUUCGGGUUGUAAAGCACUUUUGGCGGGAACGAAAGGGAAUGUGCCAAUACCACGGUUCGAUGACGGUACCCGCAGAAUAAGCACCGGCUAACUACGUG
rnacentral:rRNA from 1 species